rnacentral:rRNA from 1 species
CAGCAGCCACGGUAAUACGGAGGGUGCAAGCGUUAAUCGGAAUUACUGGGUGUAAAGCGCACGCAGGCGGUCUGACAAGUCAGAUGUGAAAUCCCCGGGCUUAACCUGGGAACUGCAUUUGAAACUGUCAGGCUGGAGUCUUGUAGAGGGGGGUGGAAUUCCAGGUGUAGCGGUGAAAUGCGUAGAGAUCUGGAGGAAUACCGGUGGCGAAGGCGGCCCCCUGGACAAAGACUGACGCUCAGGUGCGAAAGCGUGGGGAGCAAACAGGAUUAGAUACCCCAGUAGUCUCUGUCUCUUAUAC